CCACCAAGGCAAUGAUAGAUAGCUGGUCUUAGAGGAUGAACAGCCACAAUGGGAUUGAGAUACGGCCCAUAUUCUUACGGGAAGCAGCAGUAGGGAAUCUUCCACAAUGGACGAAAGUCUGAUGGAGCAAUACCAUGUGAACGAUGAAGGCCUUUUUGGUUGUAAAGUUCUUUUACGAGGGAUAAUUAUGAUAGUACUUCGUGAAUAAGUGACAGCAAACUAUGUGCCAGCAGCUGCGGUAAUACAUAGGUCGCGAGCAUUAUUCGGAUUUAUUGGGCGUAAAGCAAGCGCAGGCGGAUGUGUAAGUUCUGUGUUAAAUGCAGCUACUCAAUAGUUGUAUGCACCGAAUACUACAUGUCUAGAUUGUGGUAGGGAGUUUCGGAAUUAAGCAUGGAGCGGUGGAAUGUGUAGAUAUGCUUAAGAACACCAGAGGCGAAGGCGGAAACUUAGGCCAUAAAUGACGCUUAGGCUUGAAAGUGUGGGGAGCAAAUGGGAUUAGAUACCCCAGUAGUCCACACCGUAAACGAUGGGUAUUAGAUAUUAGGGCUUUAGCUUUAGUGUUGUAGCUUACGCGUUAAAUACCCCGCCUGGGUAGUACAUAUGCAAAUAUGAAACUCAAAGGAAUUGACGGGGACCUGAACAAGUGGUGGAGCAUGUUGCUUAAUUCGAUAAUACACGAAAAACCUUACCAAGGUUUGACAUCCCUCGCAAAGCUAUAGAAAUAUAGUGGAGGUUAUCGAGGUGACAGGUGGUGCAUGGCUGUCGUCAGCUCGUGUCUUGAGAUGUUUGGUUAAGUCCCGCAACGAGCGCAACCCCACUCUUUAGUUACUUUUCUAAAGAGACUGCACAGUAAUGUAGAGGAAGGAUGGGAUCACGUCAAGUCAUCAUGCCCCUUAUGCCUUGGGCUGCAAACGUGCUACAAUGGCGAACACAAUGUGUUGCAAACCAGCGAUGGUAAGCUAAUCACCAAAUUUCGUCUCAGUUCGGAUAGGAGGCUGCAAUUCGCCUCCUUGAAGUUGGAAUCAC
rnacentral:rRNA from 1 species